GACGUAGCCUACAAUACCUCUUUCCUUGGCAAUUGGAGUCCAGUUCACAGCAGAUCUUCCUGCGCUAGUAUCCUGUUCGGACAACUUAGACUUAAAAUACGCAACUGUUUGUGACGAAAAUCCAAGCAUGAAGACUGCGGCUUUAACAAUGUUUUUGUUACUGGUAGCGCUACCUGGCUGUCCUCUUGGAGGUCCUGUUCUACGCAGCCAAGGUAGGAAGCGAAAGGAGG